rnacentral:lncRNA from 1 species
CUUUCUAACAAACGUGUGUGCUGGUUCUUCGAACAUAGGAGUGAGAAGCCACUUUUGCCCUUUAAUUCGGCACUCUGAAAGCUCGUUAAACGAGGUGUUAUAAAUUUAUGCUUAGUCAAUAGCCCCAAUAAAUCAUGUCCGCACGACAUGCAACAUAGUUUUGUCGCACAGUUUGGUCACCUUUCUUGGGCUGGAUACCCUAUGGCCGUAAUUUCAGCCAUAGCAGAACAGAUUCUUAAUCGCACCAAACGUGAUGAGGCCGCUCAGUCACGGAACCAGCCGGUGGAAAAGCGCCGGGUUACAGUGCUCCCGUAUGUUCACGAUGUCUCCCAUAGGCUAAAAAAGAUUGGGCAGCGUGCAGGAAUCUCACUCCUUUUCCCAGCCCCGGAAAAGCUGGCAAGGCUCUGUAAACGUGUCAAUGCGCCUAAAUCACAUCAGAGUUGUUGCUCUGUCGAGCACAAAAAA